UACGGAGGGGGCUAGCGUUAUUCGGAAUUAUUGGGCGUAAAGGGCGCGUAGGCGGCCCGGUAAGUCAAAGGUGAAAUCCCUCGGCUCAACUGAGGAACUGCCUUUGAAACUGUCGGGCUUGAGGCCGGGAGGGGGUAGCGGAAUUCCCAGUGUAGAGGUGAAAUUCGUAGAUAUUGGGAAGAACACCGAUGGCGAAGGCAGCCAUCUGGACCGACACUGACGCUGAGGCGCGAAAGCGUGGGGAGCAAACAGG
rnacentral:rRNA from 1 species